UGGGGAAUAUUGGACAAUGGGCGCAAGCCUGAUCCAGCCAUGCCGCGUGAGUGACGAAGGCCCUAGGGUUGUAAAGCUCUUUCAGUGGUGACGAUGAUGACGGUAGCCACAGAAGAAGCCCCGGCUAACUCCGUGCCAGCAGCGGCGGUAAUACGGAGGGGGCAAGCGUUGUUCGGAAUUACUGGGCGUAAAGGGCGCGUAGGCGGCAUAUCAAGUCAGAGGUGAAAGCCGCGGGCUCAACCUGGGAAUUGCCUUUGAAACUGAUGAGCUAGUGUCCGGAAGAGGAUAGCGGAAUUCCCAGUGUAGAGGUGAAAUUCGUAGAUAUUGGGAAGAACACCAGUGGCGAAGGCGGCUAUCUGGUCCGGUACUGACGCUGAGGCGCGAAAGCGUGGGGAGCAAACAGGAUUAGAUACCCCGGUAGUCC
rnacentral:rRNA from 1 species